rnacentral:rRNA from 1 species
UAUCCCAUAAUAUCCAGAAAACGCAUGUUUUCUGGAUUAAAGUUCCGGCGGUUAAAGAUGGGCAUGCGUGGCAUUAGUUAGUUAGUGAGGUAUCGGCUCACCAAGGCAAUGAUGCCUAGGGGUCCUGAGAGGGUUUUCCCCCACACUGGUACUGAGACACGGACCAGACUCCUACGGGAGGCAGCAGUAAGGAAUAUUGGGCAAUAGGCGCAAGCCUGACCCAGCCAUGCCGCGUGCAGGAUGACGGCCCUAUGGGUUGUAAACUGCUUUUGUAUGGGAAAAAACUCCCGCACGUGUGCGGGACUGAUUGUACCAUACGAAUAAGCAUCGGCUAACUCCGUGCCAGCAGCCGCGGUAAUACGGAGGAUGCAAGCGUUAUCCGGAUUUAUUGGGUUUAAAGGGUGCGCAGGCGGAUUAGUAAGUCAGUGGUGAAAGCUCCCGGCUCAACCGGGAAAAUGCCAUUGAUACUGUUAAUCUUGAGUACAGUUGAGGUUGGCGGAAUGUAUCAUGUAGCGGUGAAAUGCAUAGAUAUGAUACAGAACACCGAUAGCGAAGGCAGCUUACCAAACUGUAACUGACGCUCAUGCACGAAAGCGUGGGGAGCAAACAGGAUUAGAUACCCUGGUAGUCCACGCUGUAAACUAUGAUCACUCGCUGUUGGCGAUACACUGUCAGCGGCUUAGCGAAAGUGUUAAGUGAUCCACCUGGGGAGUACGAUCGCAAGGUUGAAACUCAAAGGAAUUGACGGGGGCCCGCACAAGCGGAGGAGCAUGUGGUUUAAUUCGAUGAUACGCGAGGAACCUUACCUGGGCUUAAAUGCAGAACGACUUCCCGAGAAAUCGGGACUUCCUUCGGGACGGACUGCAAGGUGCUGCAUGGUUGUCGUCAGCUCGUGCCGUGAGGUGUCGGGUUAAGUCCCAUAACGAGCGCAACCCUUAUCCUUAGUUGCCAACAGGUAAUGCUGGGAACUCUAAGGAAACUGCCUACGCAAGUAGUGAGGAAGGUGGGGAUGACGUCAAAUCAGCACGGCCCUUAUGUCCAGGGCUACACACGUGCUACAAUGGUCGGUACAGAGGGCAGCUACCUGGCAACAGGAUGCUAAUCUCGAAAGCCGAUCUCAGUUCGGAUUGGAGUCUGCAACUCGACUCCAUGAAGUUGGAUUCGC